rfam:Thermoanaerobacter tengcongensis MB4, complete genome.
CUUCGAUAAGGGCAAACCCGUCGAAAGGCGGGGGCGCAAAGCCACGGGCCUAAAUCCCUGAUUGGGACAUGGUAGCCGGGCUGCCGAA